ACAUUGUAAAAAUAAGAUGUAGUAACAAGAUAUCCAUUAUUUUUGCAUGAAAUUGAAGGCUUUAUUUAGUAUAGUUAGAAUGAUCCGAUUUAGGUCAAAUAUGCACCGUUUUGUUCGAUAACUUGUUGCCAUUUUGAAGGUAAUUCCAUUAUGCCUCUCUCAUAGAAACCCUCGUCCCUAUUGGCAAAAAACAUUUUACAUUUUCGACAAUUGGCCUUCCAGAGCGUGAUGCAUCUUUGACAUCAAAAUUACCGGAACGGAAUCGAAACCAAAAUUGCGCGUGAUUGGCUGUUACAGUAUCAGGACCAUAAACACUAUUCACAUUUUCAGCCGCCUGAUUUGCGUUUUCGCCUUUAUCGAAGAAAAACUGUAAAAUAUGGCGUAUUUUCUCUUUGCUGAUGUCCAUCUUUGAUGCGCACUCAAACAAUACUGAGUCAAGCAAUCAUAAAAUUGUCUGAGAAGUUUUUUUAGUACGAAAUCUUAUCUUUCUAACGCCAUCUAGCGUAACCCAAUCGCACUUAUACAACGCGAGAUACAGAUUACUAAAGCCAUCUAUUGGAAAAAUAAUGGAUUUCUUUUUACUACACCUUAUAUGAGAAGGAAAAUGAAAGCUCAAAGAAAAAUAAUACAAACGUUACAAACUGAGAUUAAAAACGAUAAGUUAAAAUUAGCUUUAAGAACAAUUUUUAAGAAGAUUAAAUCGAGACUUUUAAUGACAAAGAAGCAGUGUCAAAAUUGGUUUCAUAAAACUAUACAACGUGCUCUACAAAUAAAAUUUGUUUGUGGUCGUAAUCGUCGUUUGUGGUCGGUAUGAUGCACUUAUUCAACAAGGAUACCGUUACCAAACUUACGGACGCUAUGACGAAAAUUGGAAGAUUUAAAAUUUGAAUCUGGAAUUUCAUUAAAAAUUUCAAAUUUUUAUCACAUUAGAAAUCUCACUUUGAAAAUGAAGUUGAUUUGGAAUGUGACUUGAUAUUUGAUGAAAUGACAAUUACACCCAAAAGAUCUUACAACUCCUCAACAGAGUUAUUAAUAGGAAACAUCACAUUUCCCUAAGAAACAGAUAAUUGUCAAAGCAGAAAAAAUAGGAUUUCAUGUUAAUUUUAUCACCUCAGACAUGGGUCCUGGGAAUAUGAGAUUAUGAAGAUUAUUAGGAAUAAGUGCGGGUAGAUUUAAUGAAAUAAGCAACUCUAUUACACAUCCAUUUGACGAUAAUCGAUUGUUAUAUAUAAUUGUCGACUCAUCACAUAUUUUGAAAAAUCUGAAACAAGCGUUAGUUAGUAAUGGAAUAAUCAUUGUCUUUAAUGAUGUUAUUAUAAAAUAUAAUUUACUUUGCGAUAAAAUUGAAUUAAAACAUAUUGGCGAACUGAUAAAUAUUCAAAAUAAUUCUUAACUUCGUAACUUUUUGUAACACUUAAAUUAAAAGCAGAUGAUGUUAGAUGCAAUAAUUUCAACAAAAUGAAGGUUAAUAAAGUCAAACACAUUUUCUCUAAUGACGUGAGUAGCUCUUUGCAGCUCUUAGCAGAUGAGAACAAUAAAUCUGAAUAUAUCACUACCGCCUGGUAUAUUACAAUUAUA
rnacentral:misc_RNA from 1 species